AUUGAACGCUGGCGGCAGGCCUAACACAUGCAAGUCGAACGGAAUGGCGGACGGGUGAGUAAUGCCUAGACAUCUGCCUGGUAGAGGGGGAUAACGUCCGGAAAAGGGCGCUAAUACCGCAUACUCUCAGAUGAGCCUCGGUCGGAUUAGCUAGUUGGUGGGGUAAAGGCCUACCAAGGCGACGAUCCCUAACUGGUCUGAGAGGAGGAUCGGCCACACUGGAACUGAGACACGGCCCAGACUCCGACGGGAGGCAGCAGUGGGGAAUAUUGGACAAUGGGCGAAAGCCUGAUCCAGCCAUGCCGCGUGUGUGAAGAAGGUUUUCGGAUUGUAAAGCACUUUAAGUUGGGAGGCGUUACCAACAGAAUAAGCACCGGCUAACUUCGUGCCAGCAGCCGCGGUAAUUC
rnacentral:rRNA from 1 species